UACGUAGGGUGCAAGCGUUGCCCGGAUUUAUUGGGCGUAAAGGGUGCGUAGGCGGGUCUUUAAGUCAGGGGUGAAAUCCUGGAGCUCAACUCCAGAACUGCCUUUGAUACUGAAGAUCUUGAGUUCGGGAGAGGUGAGUGGAACUGCGAGUGUAGAGGUGAAAUUCGUAGAUAUUCGCAAGAACACCAGUGGCGAAGGCGGCUCACUGGCCCGAUACUGACGCUGAGGCACGAAAGCGUGGGGAGCAAACAGG
rnacentral:rRNA from 1 species